rnacentral:rRNA from 1 species
ACGCUCGACACCUACGGGGGCAGCAGUGGGGAAUAUUGCACAAUGGGGGAAACCCUGAUGCAGCGACGCCGCGUGAAGGAAGAAGUAUCUCGGUAUGUAAACUUCUAUCAGCAGGGAAGAAAGUGACGGUACCUGACUAAGAAGCCCCGGCUAACUACGUACCACGCAGCCGCGGUAAUCUGAGCGGGCUGGCAAGGC